rnacentral:rRNA from 1 species
UACGUAGGGGGCGAGCGUUGUCCGGAAUUAUUGGGCGUAAAGAGCUCGUAGGCGGUUUGUUGCGUCGGCUGUGAAAUCCCGAGGCUCAACCUCGGGUCUGCAGUCGAUACGAGCAAACUAGAGUGUUGCAGGGGAGACUGGAAUUCCUGGUGUAGCGGUGAAAUGCGCAGAUAUCUGGAGGAAUACCGGUGGCGAAGGCGGCAUCCUGGACCGACAUUGACGCUGAGGAGCGAAAGCUAGGGGAGCAAACGGG